AUUGAACGCUGGCGGCAUGCCUUACACAUGCAAGUCGAACGGUAACAGGUCUUCGGAUGCUGACGAGUGGCGAACGGGUGAGUAAUAUAUCGGAACGUGCCCAGUCGUGGGGGAUAACGCAGCGAAAGCUGUGCUAAUACCGCAUACGAUCUAUGGAUGAAAGCGGGGGAUCGCAAGACCUCGCGCGAUUGGAGCGGCCGAUAUCAGAUUAGGUAGUUGGUGGGGUAAAGGCCCACCAAGCCAACGAUCUGUAGCUGGUCUGAGAGGACGACCAGCCACACUGGGACUGAGACACGGCCCAGACUCCUACGGGAGGCAGCAGUGGGGAAUUUUGGACAAUGGGCGCAAGCCUGAUCCAGCCAUGCCGCGUGCAGGAUGAAGGCCUUCGGGUUGUAAACUGCUUUUGUACGGAACGAAAAGACUCUUUCUAAUAAAGAGGGUCCAUGACGGUACCGUAAGAAUAAGCACCGGCUAACUACGUG
rnacentral:rRNA from 1 species